rnacentral:rRNA from 1 species
CCUACGGGUGGCAGCAGUGGGGAAUAUUGCACAAUGGGGGAAACCCUGAUGCAGCGACGCCGCGUGAGUGAAGAAGUAUUUCGGUAUGUAAAGCUCUAUUAGCAGGGAAGAAAAUGACGGUACCUGAUUAAGAAGCCACGGCGAACUAGGUGCCAGCAGCCGCGGUAAUACGGAGGGGGCAAGCGUUAACCGGAUUGACUGGGUGUAAAGGGAGCGUAGACGGCAGCGCAGGUCUGAAGUGAAAUGCCGGGGCUGAACCCCGGAACUGCUUUGGAAACUGUGCAGCUAGAGUGCAGGAGAGGUAAGUGGAAUUCCUGGUGUGGCGGUGAAAUGCGUAGAUAUUAGGAGGAACACCGGUGGCGAAGGCGGCUUACGGGACUGUAACUGACGUUGAGGCUCGAAAGCGUGGGGAGCAAACAGGAUUAGAUACCCUUGUAGUC